rnacentral:rRNA from 1 species
UGUAGGCGUCCUGAUAAGUCAGAUGUGGAAGCCUUGGGCUUAACCCAAGAAGUGCAUUUGAUACUGUCGGGAUUGAGUCGUACAUGGGAGGGCGGAAUUCCUGGUGUAGCGGUGAAAUGCGUAGAUAUCAGGAGGAAGGCCAGUGGUGAAGACGGCCCUCUGGGUAAUGACUGACGCUGAGGCGCGAAAGCGUGGGUAGCAAACA